AUUUUGCUGAUUCUGUUCUUCAG
rnacentral:siRNA from 1 species